GCUUGCAGCCAUAUCACCCUGCAACUCACAACUGGCAACCCACUGAGACUAAGCAGGUGUGAGCCUGGUCAGUACCUCGAUGGGAGACCUCCUAGGAAAAACUAAGGUUGCUGCUGGAA
rnacentral:rRNA from 1 species